UNUGACUUGAGUGCAGAAGGGGAGAGUGGAAUUCCAUGUGUAGCGGUGAAAUGCGUAGAUAUAUGGAGGAACACCAGUGGCGAAAGCGGCUCUCUGGUCUGUCACUGACGCUGAGGCUCGAAAGCGUGGGUAGCGAACAGGAUUAGAUACCCUGGUAGUCCACGCCGUAAACGAUGAGUGCUAGGUGUUAGGCCCUUUCCGGGGCUUAGUGCCGGAGCUAACGCAAUAAGCACUCCGCCUGGGGAGUACGACCGCAAGGUUGAAACUCAAAGGAAUUGACGGGGGCCCGCACAAGCGGUGGAGCAUGUGGUUUAAUUCGAAGCAACGCGAAGGACCUUACCAGGUCUUGACAUCCCGAUGCUAUUCUUAGAGAUAGGAAGUUACUUCGGUACAUCGGAGACAGGUGGUGCAUGGUUGUCGUCAGCUCGUGUCGUGAGAUGUUGGGUUAAGUCCCGCAACGAGCGCAACCCUUAUUGUUAGUUGCCAUCAUUAAGUUGGGCACUCUAGCGAGACUGCCGGUAAUAAACCGGAGGAAGGUGGGGAUGACGUCAAAUCAUCAUGCCCCUUAUGACCUGGGCUACACACGUGCUACAAUGGUCGGUACAACGAGUUGCGAGCCGGUGACGGCAAGCUAAUCUCUGAAAGCCGAUCUCAGUUCGGAUUGGAGGCUGCAACUCGCCUCCAUGAAGUCGGAAUCGCUAGUAAUCGCGGAUCAGCACGCCGCGGUGAAUACGUUCCCGGGCCUUGUACACACCGCCCGUCACACCACGAGAGUUUGUAACACCCGAAGUCGGUGAGGUAACCUUUUAGGGGCCAGCCGCCUAAGGUGGGAUGGAUGAUUG
rnacentral:rRNA from 1 species